CCUUGUCAUGUGCUUAAGUGUUUGAUGACAGCGAUGUGAGGGCCGUGUGCAAGUGUUUAUUGAGACCCACUGAGACUAAGAUUGAUUUAAGACCUAUUCUGGCAACCGCUUUAAAUGUCUGUCAACUUCUUCCCAUACCUUAUGAACAGCAGUGAGAAGUCGAAAAAAACCCCCAAGGAACGUGCAGGUUUUCUGAUAAAUUUUCUGUCAUACUUUCAAAAAACCAAAACCCUAAAGGACAAUUUGGGCCAGCGGUACCAAGGUGAACAAGAAGGUUAGAAGAAUACAGGGUCAUCAUCUGGCUCAGGGAAGGUCAUAGAUUCACCAGAUCAUAGAAUGGAACCAGCUUUUUCACACACAUCUAUCUCCAGAAAUCAAGAUACAGCAAGGAUCCGUGGCAAGUCAGACGCGAUGCAGGGGCUUUAAAGAGAAACUGCUCGGUCAGAACUGACCAAAGUAGCAGAAAUAAAAGUUGUGAACCAUUAGUCCAACAAAAUCACGCCAGUAAAUCUUGAUUCUAGCAGAAUGGCGUCUACAAGAAUAUCACUUGUUUGGUUUUGUGUUAAACUCAUUCACAUUGAGUGGGAUGUAUUUGGAAUAGGGUUUUUUUCAGUGACUGAUUCUUAAACAUCCCAAUUGGUCCACCCUAUUUUGAAUAUUGGAUUUGUUGAACUUUGUCAUAAAUACAUACACUUUGGAUUAUCAAUAUUUAGAUUAUUGGUUAAAAAAAUAAAAAAAAAAUUAUGAGAAGAAAUAUAAAAGAAAUUCCUUAAUUGUAAAUCAAAAAUUUCUAAAUAAUGAAAUGUAUGUAUUUAGAUUGUAAAAUACUGUAGAAAGUGCCUUUGGAAUGAAAAAGUAUUAAUUUUAUUUACACUGUGUAGCCAUAUAAUGCUCAUUAAGAAAUAAAAAAGAAAUUAUUGGUAAAAUGGUGUCUUUACAAGUACAUAUAUGAGAAAAAACAUUCCCAGAAGUCCCUGGAUAAAGUGUAACAUGUCUGUUAUUUUGUUAGGGCAUUUAUACUAUUUGAUUGUUGCAUUAUUUUAGUGAUAAA